GACGAACGCUGGCGGCGUGCUUAACACAUGCAAGUCGAACGGAAAGGCCCUGCUUUUGUGGGGUGCGCGAGUGGCGAACGGGGGAGUAACACGUGAGUAACCUGCCCUUUACUUUGGGAUAACUUCAGGAAACUGGGGCUAAUACCGGAUAGGAGCUCCUGCUGCAUGGUGGGGGUUGGAAAGUUUCGGCGGUUGGGGAUGGACUCGCGGCUUAUCAGCUUGUUGGUGGGGUAGUGGAUUACCAAGGCUUUGACGGGUAGCCGGCCUGAGAGGGUGACCGGCCACAUUGGGACUGAGAUAGGGCCCAGACUCCUACGGGAGGCAGCAGUGGGGAAUAUUGCAAAAUGGGCGGAAGCAUGAUGCAGCAACGCCGCGUGCGGGAUGACGGCCUUCGGGUUGUAAACCGCUUUCGCCUGUGACGAAGCGUGAGUGACGGUAAUGGGUAAAGAAGCACCGGCUAACUACGUG
rnacentral:rRNA from 1 species